UGCAAGGAACAUAGUGUCUCUCAAGCUAGAUCAAUUCAUUGCUAGACUAGGUAGAUCAAUUUACUUCUUAGGACUGUCUCUUCACAAAGCAGGACAACAUCUAUCAGUCAACUCUAUUAUGGACUUGUUGCUGGAUCUAUGGUAGUUUUUCCAACAUUUUAAAGCUCCCAAAAUUUUUUUUUGGUCUAUACCAAUCUCUUCUGUUUCCAGUACCAUCCACUUAAGAGCAAGUUCAGAAGAAACAAAGAUGCCAUUGGGUGGAAAUGUCUCAGUUAAACAGAAAAUGUUGAGUUCUAGUUAAUCAGUACUCAAAACCACAAUCUCCAGGGCAGUUAAAUGCUGUUCUGAGAAAAGCGCCUUUCCAGGAAAACAUACUUUCCUUUAUGCCUCACAUGGGGGAAUACUCAUAGGAGACUAACAUCUCUUUUAGAGGAUGUUCUCCCUCUCACAGGUGCUAUGUAUUUCUAUGAAUUAUGAUGCUAUUAGAAUAACUAUUCUUAUUCAUAGAUCUGGUCCUAGUGAUUGAAUAAAUGAAUUAAUGAAUGUCAUGACUUUGCUCAGAAAUCUUCAGAUAUUCUCUAUUGUCUCAUUAAUAAAUCCUUAAUCUAAUAUUCUAGAGCCUCCACAAUCUAGCUCUAGUUAUGCCUUUCCAAGCUUAUCUCAUAUUACUACUGUUCUACACACCCCAAGUUCUAUCUCUACCAGUUUACUCUUUGUCCUUCAAAUGAGUCACAUGCCCUCCUAUCUCUGGAUUUGAAAUGUAGUCCUUUUUCCUUUUCACCUGCUGAAUUCUUACCUUUUAAAAAUGCCUUCUUUGUGAAAUCUUCCUUGAUCUCCCAGUAGGUAUAAUAUUACAUCUGGGGUCAUACAGUGUUCUUCCUUUAAUAACUCAUUAAAGAAUUUACAGAGUAUCACAUAUUAUAAUUAUCUAGAAUUUUUUUCUUUUACUUUUAAAAAAUCAUUUCCAAUCCACGGAACAAAACAAGCAUUUCUAUAAAACAGUACAAUAAAAAAAGAUGAUUGCACAUGAAACUGCAAAUCUACCAUGUACAAUUCUUCAAAUUUACAACAAAUUAUCACUUAAAUUUCUUUUUUCUUUCUUUACUUUUAUUUUCUUCCCUAUUUCUUCCCCCAGUCUAGAAAUGGCAAUUAUUAGACACAAAUAGGUGUGUGUGUGUGUGUGUGUGUAAAGUUAUUCUAUACAUACUUCUAAUUGUCAGUUCUUUCUCUGGAUGCAGAUAGCAACUCUCUUCAUAUGUCCUUUAUUUUUCAUUUGUGCAUUUAUAAUAUUCAAAAUUACUUAAUUGCUCAAAGUUGUUCUUAAAACAAUAUUGCUGUUACUGUGUACAAUAGUCUCUUCAUUCUGCUCACUUUGCUCUUCAUCAUUUCAUUCAAGUCUUUCCAUGCUUCUCUAAGAUAAUUGAGUUCAUCAUUCCUCAUUGCACGAUAGUAUUCCAUGACAACCAUUCAUCACAACUUGUUCAACUGUUCCCCAAUUGAUGGGGAUUCCUGCAAUAUCUAGUUCUUUGCUGUUCCAAAGAAAGCUGCUAUAAACAUCCCAUUCACAUUCAAAGUGAUAAUAAAAUUAUUUAUGAAUUUCCUUCCAUCUUAUUUUUACUCACUUUUUCUCAAAUUCUCCUUUUUACCCUAUUUUUGUUACCUUAUCUUCUCCCCAAUCCUUCCACCCCACACAUCACCCACCUUUCCAAGAGCCCUCCCAUCCACUAUCUCCACCCCACCAAAUUCAAUCCACACUACUCUCCAAAAUCUACCUUUCCCUCAAAUUUCCCAAAUUCCAAUCUACACACUGGGUUAUUGUUUUCCUACUUAUACUCCUUUUGUUGUUCCCCAGUCCUUUUUCAUUCCUGUUAUGACCCCAUUUGGGAUUUGGGCUUUCUUGGAAAAGAUACUAGAGUAGUUUGUGAUUUCCUUCUCCAAUUCAUUUUAUAGAUAAGGAAAUUGAGGCAAACAGGGUCAAGUGAUUAGUGCAGGAUUAUAAGGUAGUAAGUGUCUGAGGCCAGAUUUGAACUCAAGAAGAAAAAUCUUCCUGAUUCCAGGCUCAGCAUUCUAUCUACUACAUUACCUAACUGCUCUCUCCCUAUCAGACUUUAAAUUCAUGAGGAUAGCAGAUAGUGUCAUAUCUCAUCUAAAUGUUGUGCCUUCCUCAAUGUCUUAUACAAAAUAUUUAUUUAAGUAUAGAUAUAGGUACUUAAUAAUAAAUAAUCAUAACAGACAUUUUGAGGGUUUUAAGGUUUGAAAAGCACUUUUCACAACUUCAACUUAUUUGAUUCCCACAAUGUAUUACUUGUCUAGGGUCACAGAGAAGGGAUGUGUCAGAGAAAGAGCUUCAGCCCAGAUUUUUCUGACUUCAGAGACCUUGCUAUGUCAAGCUCCCUUCUCCUAGUGCUUUCAAACUACAUUUCACUGAUGGGUUUCUAGUUUAUUAGCAUGAAAAUGAGCCUUUUAAAAAAAGUUUGAUUGACAUGAUACAAUUACCCAGCUGUGAUUGUUAAAGAAGCAAAAUCAAAGGUAGCUCAUGCUGACAGGUUCUUUAAAGAUCCCAUAUUAAAAUGCAGAGAGAAGAAUUUCAUACUCAAACUGCCAGAUAUUAAAUACUAAAGUAAAAAGUAGCUCUGAAACUGUGAAGUUCAUGGUGUACUAGGAAAUAACUAUAUUUGUUUAUAGGCUAGUACAUUCUUAGCUAGGUAAUGUGGCCUAAUGAAAAGAGCAUUUGACUUUGAAUCAGAGAAAAAUCCUAAUUUAACCCCAUACUAUCUGUAUGACCUUUGGUCAUUUUUUUGUUGUUUUUUUUAAGGGCUAGUAAAAUAGACAAACCAUAGCUUUUAACAGAAAAUACAAAUCAUCAAAAUAAAAAAGAAAUCACAAGAGAUAAAAAGGAAAUAAAGGAAGGAAAUUCUUGGAAAUUAUGUUAUUCGCCUAUAUGCUCAAAAGACUGCUAACUUUAAAGAAAUAGAUAAAUACUGAUAAAACUAUAAAAUUCCCAACAGCCCAAUAAAUAGCAUAAAAUUGCAAAUCUUAGGGAAAAUAAAUUGACUAUAAAUAAAUGAACACCCAAAGGGGAAAAAUACUUACUCAAAUGGACUUAUACAUGAAAUUCUAUCAAAUAUUCAGAGUAAUAAAUUUUACUACUAAAAAAAUUAUUUACAAAAAUAGGAAAAUAAGCCAUCCUACCAAAUUCCCUCCAAAAAACAAGUAUAGCUCUAAUACCUAAACUGAAUACAGAGAAGAAACAAAGAAACAGAAAGAAAACUAAGCCAAUUUUCUAAUGAAAAUUGACACAAAAAGUUUGAAUACAAUGUUAGCAAAGUGGCUACAGCAAUGUUGACAAAAGAUUUUUCACUUUGGUCGGGUUGGAUUUAUACUACAAAUUCCAGACUGGCUCAGCAUUAAGAAAGUUUUGUAUUUAAUAGGUCAUAGAGCAAAAGCUCUGUGUGUGUGUAUGUGUGCGUGCGCUUGUGUACACGUGUAUCACUGCCUAGCAGAAACUAAGCUUAGAUUAGCAUGUUAUACCACAUUCCAGAAUAAAUUCAAAAUGAACAAAUAGCCUGAAUAAUAAAUCAUACCAUAAAUAAGAGAAGUAAACCAUAUACUUUUUUUGGUCUUUUUUUUUUAAAUAAUAGCUUUUUAUUUUCAAAAUAUAUGCAAAGAUAGUUGUUAACAUUCACCCCUGCAAAACUUUGUAUUCUAAAUUUUUUCCCUCCCCUUCUGCACCUCCUUUCCUAGACAGCAAGCAAUCCAAUAUAUGUUAAACAUGGACAAUUCUUCUAUACAUAUUUCCACUUUUAUCAUGUUGCACAAGAAAAAUCAGAUGAAAAAGGAGGAAAAAAUGAGAAAGAAAACAAAAAGCAAGCAAACAACAAAAAAAAGGAAGCGAUGGGAUGAAUUGGUAAGAUCUUAAUUUUUUUUAUAUUAAGUUUCAAGCAAGCUUUUACAUUCUCUGCUUUUAUCCUCAUCAAGAGCUUCUUAAUUCUUCUUCACUUUCUGUUAUCAGAGUACUAUCAUCACAUAUCUCAAAUUGUUAAUAUUUCUCCUAGCAACCUUAAUUCUGCCUUUUGAGUUAUCCAGGCUGAUAUUUUGUAUGAUGUAUUCUGCAUAUGAGUUAAAUAAAUAAAAUGAUAACA